CAGUCGCCACGGUAAUACGAAGGGGGCUAGCGUUGCUCGGAAUUACUGGGCGUAAAGGGCGCGUAGGCGGACAGUUCAGUCAGGGGUGAAGGCCCGGGGCUCAACCUCGGAAUUGCCUUCGAUACUGGCUGUCUUGAGUAUGAGAGAGGUGUGUGGAACUCCGAGUGUAGAGGUGAAAUUCGUAGAUAUUCGGAAGAACACCAGUGGCGAAGGCGACACACUGGCUCAUUACUGACGCUGAGGCGCGAAAGCGUGGGGAGCAAAUGGGAUUAGAUACCCCAGUAGUCCCUGUCUCUUAUAA
rnacentral:rRNA from 1 species